UUUGCCUAUUGGAUAUGACGGGGCUACUCCAAGAGGCCUCUCUGUGUCUGCUCCUGGACCUACUCGUGAUUCAAGGUUGUGUUUCCUCUUUGCACAUAAGACAGACUUGUUGGUUGAACAGGUGGCACCUGGGUGAGGCUCUGUUUGCAGCAGACCGCUUCAGCAACACCUGCCCUGCCUCAGACCCCUGUAGUGGCUGAAUUCAUGGAAGACUAGUUCAGGAUUUCAUUGGAUUUUCAAGAAGAGGAUCAUAUUAUCGUCACCCUUCUUCCUGUGAUGAUGUGAGAUGAUAAAAUGCCAACGUGUUCAGGUGAAGUGAAGUGAAUGAAAUGACAAGGCUGCUACUGGCAUUCUGAUGACAGAUAAGAAGGAGGAUUGUUGGCAUCUGGACUGUGGUUGUUUGGGGAACACUGAAACUGCAGAAAACGAAACCAUGGAUAAGGGUCAAAAAAAUUAUUCUGAUGUGAAUACUGGGUGGAUGAAUACAUUGGGUGAGUAAUGUUUAA